UCGCGGCUUAUCACCGGCAGUCCCCCUAGAGUGCCCAACCCAAUGAUGGCAACUAGGGGCGAGGGUUGCGCUCGUUGCGGGACUUAACCCAACAUCUCACGACACGAGCUGACGACAGCCAUGCACCACCUGUGAUGGUGUCCCGAAGGAAAGCCGUGUUUCCACGGCGGUCACCAACAUGUCAAGCCCAGGUAAGGUUCUUCGCGUUGCAUCGAAUUAAACCACAUACUCCACCGUUUGUGCGGGCCCCCGUCAAUUCCUUUGAGUUUCAGUCUUGCGACCGUACUCCCCAGGCGGCGAACUUAACGCGUUAGCUUCGACACUGAUCUCCGAGUUGAGACCAACAUCCAGUUCGCAUCGUUUAGGGCGUGGACUAC
rnacentral:misc_RNA from 1 species